rnacentral:rRNA from 1 species
CCUACGGUGGGCAGCAGUGAGGAAUAUUGGUCAAUGGGCGGAAGCCUGAACCAGCCAAGUCGCGUGAGGGAAUAAGGCCCUACGGGUCGUAAACCUCUUUUGCCGGGGAGCAAGGGCGGGGACGUGUCCCGGCCCGGAGAGUACCCGGAGAAAAAGCAUCGGCUAACUCCGUGCCAGCAGCCGCGGUAAUACGGAGGAUGCGAGCGUUAUCCGGAUUUAUUGGGUGUAAAGGGAGCGCAGGCGGGAAGCCAAGUCAGCUGUGAAAACUACGGGCUUAACUUGUAGACUGCAGUUGAAACUGGUUUUCUUGAGUGAAGUAGAGGUUGGCGGAAUUCCGAGUGUAGCGGUGAAAUGCGUAGAUAUUCGGAGGAACACCGGUGGCGAAGGCGGCCAACUGGGCUUUAACUGACGCUGAGGCUCGAAAGUGUGGGGAGCAAACAGGAUUAGAUACCCCUGUAGUC